rnacentral:rRNA from 1 species
GGCGGACGGGUGAGUAACGCGUGAGCAAUCUGCCUUUAGGAGGGGGAUAACACUGGGAAACCAGUGCUAAUACCGCAUGAAGUCAAUGAACAGCAUUAUUUAUUGACCAAAGAUUUAUCGCCUAAAGAUGAGCUCGCGUCUGAUUAGCUAGUUGGUGAGGUAACGGCCCACCAAGGCGACGAUCAGUAGCCGAACUGAGAGGUUGAUCGGCCACAUUGGGACUGAGACACGGCCCAGACUCCUACGGGAGGCAGCAGUGGGGGAUAUUGCGCAAUGGGGGAAACCCUGACGCAGCAACGCCGCGUGAAGGAUGAAGGUCUUCGGAUUGUAAACUU